AUUUCGGCCAAUGUACCUACCCAAACCGAGUGAAAUGCAUCGAUAGUUGAGCAAGAAAAUAGUUAGAAUCAGCAUAUGGUCUGCAACUCUACAUAUAUACAAGUACAUGUAUGGGUCCCAUGACACUUUGAUGAUCAUUCAUGCUAAUGCUGAAAUCUCAUGCAAAUCUAAGAUAGGGUUAGGAUGUGUCACGAAGCUACCACAAACUGUCGUUGCCAUACAAACUCCACUAAGAUGUCGUAUGAGACGUUGGUGCUAUCAAGGAUUUGAUAUGGUAGAUAAUCUAAUCUACUCAACUUAGUGGUUGGUCUAUAAAUGACCCUAAUGCAGGAGCAUUAGGUCUACUCAUAUCACCGGUAUGAGACCCCAUAGUGAUGUAGAUGAUCACCUCUGCUUUUUUAUCGGAGUUGAGAUCAAAGAUGGAGAUCCUCAAAUAGAUCCAGUGUUAGUCAGUGAUGAUGUUUAUGUAGAUGGACUAGUGGAUGUAGUUGUUCGGUUGAUCGCUGCCUACAUUGUCCGAUGAUCGCUGCAUGUUCUUCAUCCAACGCCCUAAGUGAUCGGAUUAGCUAAUAGAAAUAUUGGGAAUAAUGAACGUGAGAAACUUGACAUCUCCCACAGCCGUAUCCCCAUUUUAUUUUGGGCUGAGGGAGAUCGGGGCAAAUUGGAUCGUAGAAGGAAAGAGCACUCUCGAUUAUUGCACAAAUAGGAAGGUAUCCCUGUGACGGCAUGGCAAUGGGU
rnacentral:lncRNA from 1 species